ACACGUAGGUGGCGAGCGUUAUCCGGAAUUAUUGGGCGUAAAGGGCGCGCAGGCGGCCAUUUAAGUUUGACGUGAAAGCUCCUGGCUCAACUGGGAGAAGUCGUUGAAAACUGGAUGGCUUGAGUCAAUGAGAGGGGUGCGGAAUUCCCGGUGUAGUGGUGGAAUGCGUAGAUAUCGGGAGGAACACCAGUGGCGAAAGCGGCACCCUAGCAUUGGACUGACGCUGAAGUGCGAAAGCGUGGGGAGCGAACGGGAUUAGAUACCCCGGUAGUCCACGCUGUAAACGAUGAACACUAGGUGUAGGGCGAGUCAAAUCGUUCUGUGCCGAAGCAAACGCGAUAAGUGUUCCGCCUGGGGAGUACGGCCGCAAGGCUAAA
rnacentral:rRNA from 1 species